rnacentral:rRNA from 1 species
AUUGAACGCUGGCGGCAGGCUUAACACAUGCAAGUCGAACGGUAGCAGGAGAAAGCUUGCUUUCUUGCUGACGAGUGGCGGACGGGUGAGUAAUGCUUGGGAAUCUGGCUUAUGGAGGGGGAUAACUACGGGAAACUGUAGCUAAUACCGCGUAGAAUCGGAAGAUGAAAGUGCGGGACCGCAAGGCCGCAUGCCAUGAGAUGAGCCCAAGUGGGAUUAGGUAGUUGGUGGGGUAAAGGCCUACCAAGCCUGCGAUCUCUAGCUGGUCUGAGAGGAUGGCCAGCCACACUGGAACUGAGACACGGUCCAGACUCCUACGGGAGGCAGCAGUGGGGAAUAUUGCGCAAUGGGGGGAACCUUGACGCAGCCAUGCCGCGUGAAUGAAGAAGGCCUUCGGGUUGUAAAGUUCUUUCGGUAUUGAGGAAGGUUGAUGUGUUAAUAGUACAUCAAAUUGACGUUAAAUACAGAAGAAGCACCGGCUAACUCCGUGCCAGCAGCCGCGGUAAUACGGAGGGUGCGAGCGUUAAUCGGAAUAACUGGGCGUAAAGGGCACGCAGGCGGUUAUUUAAGUGAGGUGUGAAAGCCCCGGGCUUAACCUGGGAAUUGCAUUUCAGACUGGGUAACUAGAGUACUUUAGGGAGGGGUAGAAUUCCACGUGUAGCGGUGAAAUGCGUAGAGAUGUGGAGGAAUACCGAAGGCGAAGGCAGCCCCUUGGGAAUGUACUGACGCUCAUGUGCGAAAGCGUGGGGAGCAAACAGG